UUGUUGUAUAGCACAAAAAUGGAAAAAAAGAAGAGAAAAAGUAAAUGAGAAAGAUGAAAUUAGAUUAAACUGAAGAUGGAAACAACCAUUGAAGAAAUUAAAAGAUUCUUUUGCACGUGUUCUUGUUGUUGUUGAGUGGUGAUCGGUAGCAAUAAGGAUUCAUGAUAAUUGUUAGCCUUUAGAUAUCAAUUAAUCGACGAUGGAGAAUGCAACUUGCAACUUGGUGGAGGAAGCACUUGGAUCCAAUGGAGAAGUGAUAUGCAUUUUGAUAGCAUUGAUUUUGAGUUUGACUCAAAAUUAGACGUGGAUCAGGUUUUAUGCCCCUAAUCUUUGUAUCUUUCUUUUAAUUUAUUUUAAUUUUCAUUUUGCCUAAAAAACAUUGAUUUUGUCAAAUUAUGCUAAUUAAAUAUUUAUGCAUUCACCACUAUUAUUCUAAUUAUUUAUUUGU
rnacentral:lncRNA from 1 species